rnacentral:lncRNA from 1 species
AGCUCUUGGGCGAAGAGUCAUACUUCGCCACAGAUCAUAUGCGAGAGUUCCCAGGAAUAGGGUUAUCUUUCCCUUUGCUCUGAUACCAAGUUUGUCACUAGGGGUGGGAGAUCACGGAGCAUCCCCCCCUUCGCUACGGAGGCAACGACGGCUUAUGUGCACUCCCACUCACACAUAGCCGGGUCAGUAACGGCUUAUGUGCACUCCUACUCGCACAUAGCUGGGUUCAAAUCAACAUGUAAAGAAGCAUCCAAUGCAUAUCAUGCAUUUUAUCAUAUUGUGAUAACACAUAAACCAUUGUGUAGCACAUUUUCACAAUAUAAAAUCAUUUUACUAAAAGCUUGUUCCCAAGGUACAUUUUUUAAGACAAGUUGGAUAGAAUCUUUCAUAUUCCCCAAAACAAGUUUGAAAUGCAAGUUCACUCAUCGGUAUUAGGAGUAGAAAUACUCCUAUUUUCAGUCCGCGGGUACAGUUCUUUACCCGUAUCCAAUGGCUCACCACCUAGCCAUAAUCCAUGACACAUAUUCCAAUUAAAUUGUGUCGAAUAGUAAUAAGCUAUUUCAGGCUCGAUAUAUAUAUGAUAUGAAAUGAAAAAUGCACGGGUAGCCAUCUAGACCCGAUAUUGGCCUAAGUCGAUUUUUCAUCCGAUAAAUUGGCCAAUGCGUCCAAUUUCACUCCAAAUUAAUCCAUUUCUCCUAUAAUACCUUAAUUUACCAUAUACCAUUUAAAUAAAGCCAAAUUCAGCAUUAGAACCCUCACAGUUCCUUAUAGAAAAAUUCGAUCAUUUGGUGCACUAGCACCAAAAAUUUUUCUACAUAACCGUUUCACCUUAAUUCAUCAUUUUCCAAGCCAUUUUCCUUGAAAUAAAAACAAUCCCCCAUUGAUAUUCAGCCCUCAUGGUUCGGCCAACAAGGAACCCUAGAGAAAUUGAAUAUUUCUUUUGUGUUUUUGUUCAUAACCAUGCUUAACUAUCCCUAAACACUAACAUAGUCUAAAAUCAAAUUAUUCCAACAACAAUUCCUCUUCCAUACCCAUUUUUCAGAAUUGAAUUCAUCAUGAUAACUCAAUAUUCAACCAUGGAAAUCAAGAACAAAAGAAUGGGUAAGCUAGGUAUCAAGGAGAAUUAAAGAAAUUUUAACUUACCUAGCUUGUUUCCUUGA